CCGUCGGGCCCGGCCAAUUUGCUCGGCGCCUGUCUUCAGGCCAGAAUACAUGGAGCGAAUAUGCGACGAAUAGUCGGCGUUCGACGCCCGGCGGCGUACGCGCGACGCGCGGCGGCGGAGAAAACGUCGUUCGCCGCCGAUCCAGCUGGCGCAGAAAAGUUCGUCGGGCGGCGACGAUACCGGAAGCGGCAAACGAGCGGCGCCCCAAAGCGAGCCAAUCAGGUCUAAGUAUCCGCCCCGACUUCCGUCUAGGCUUCCCCGCUUGUCCGUGCAUGCCGAUCCCGCUCUAUCGUUCACGCCGGUAUCCCGCAUUUCGUAUUCAUGGCAUCCAAAGCGGCGCGGCUGGAAUUUAACGACAAGUUCAUUUCGGCUGUUCAGAAGCGUGCCAUCCUGUGGGACUGCAGUCGCUAUGACUACAAAGAUCAAAGAAAGAAGGCUCAGGCGUGGGAAGAAGUUGCCGCUGAAAUAGGAUGCGACCUGCAAGAAAAAAAUCUACAGGCUAGGUGGAAGAGCCUGCGGGAUACAUUCACGAAAAAGUACCGGGGGCACAAACACGGCGCCCCGAGUGGCUAAGGUGGAAGUGACGCGAAGGAAAUCAAUGAUGCAAGCGUGAGCUGGCCUUAUUUCACCUUGCUGAAGUUCUUAAAAGAUCAGUCGGAAGUUGCCAGUACCAUAUCCAACAUUAUUCAGCCGGCUGCGACUGAAACCGCUGAGAAAGUGUUCGAGAGAUUGUACAACACUGGAGGAGCGCAGGAAGAACAGGAGGACGAGAUUUGCAGUGCCCCUACAAGCUACGUAGAAGAAAGUAGUGUUGAGGCAAGGACGUCGAAUAGUGACGACACAGCAGCAUUACACUCCAGCUUCAUAAAACAUGUAUCAGAAACUCCGAGGAGGAGGCGAGCCCAGGAGGCAAACAGGGGUACGUGGGAACAAGAACUGGACAGAGUUGACGCCCAAGUAGUCGCUCACAGCGACAAAGGAGCCUUGUACGGACAGCUGUUGGCAGAAAAGUUUCGCUCUUGUCCUAAAAGGCUAAAGUCACAAAUAGAACUUGAACUCUUAGAUUUUUUAAAGAAAUACACGUUCGAAGAACCUCAAUAAAAACCUCGUGCAUA